rnacentral:lncRNA from 1 species
CUGCAACUGCCCCGUGCUCCCUGGGCAACCAAAUCCAGCCCCACCACUGCCGUGCCCUGCCGUCGUCGACGGGACGAUGCGGCCGUCGUCUCCUUCCUCUGCCCGAGGCUGGUUGAGAUCCUUUCUCUCCGGCUCCGAUUGAGCCCACUACCCCCCAUAUGCUUGCUCUUUGAUGAUCUCCUCCACGCGUCUGGACGCCGUGAUGGCGGAGGUGGAGGAUCCGCUGGUCACGGUGGCAUCUGAUGUCUGUGUCGCACUGGCGGGGAUGGAGCAGCCUCCGGCGGUGGUGGUGUCUGAUGUGGUCUUUCUGGCAUCAUGAUCUGUUGAGUGGAGGUGCAACAGUGUCAGGUCCCAGCGCCGACUGCGAUUCUGGCCUGAUUCAGGCAGAAGGGUCCCGUGGGAGAGCAUUGACACCUUCUCGUCGGAAAUUCGUUGACUGGACCAUCAUAGCCUAGCGAUUCUGGCUGCCUGCAUGUCAAUACAAUGUAGUAGUAUUUGCUAGUAGUCCUGCUACAUGAGUCUAGUUUAUAUUUACAUUUUUAAUGUUUGUUUUCCUUUUUCUAAUUUAGUGCUAGUCUGCUACUCAGUACAUGACUGAAGCAAACUAGUCCAAUUCUAUGUAUGUUUCAUCUUCCUUGCAGAAACUGAAUGAUUGGGUGGUGAAAUAGGUGUUUUCUUUAGUCAACUAACACUGUAACAUUUGUAUGUUACGGUUUUUGGGCGGCGAUUUGAGUUGGAAUAGGAGGAGGAAAGUACAUAAGAGUAUCGAGAGGAUAGUUCUAAUGUUAUUGCUCAAUCCUCUCAAAAUGCAUCUGUGUGGUUUCUGUGUUUUCUUGCAUGCAUAUAAGUAACCAGUUGGCUAGUUUGUUGUCAUAGUUGCACAGAAACACAAAUGUAGUUGGAUCAUGCAUAUACAUAUCUCAGUUGGCUAGCCAACUUAUGAAGUUGCACAGUGAGGGCUAACCAGUUGCACAAGCAAUGGUAUUCAGAUGGAUACACUAUGUAAACCAUGUUCAAGCAAUAUGUGUGUUCUUUUGGUUGCACACUCAUGUGUGCUCUGUUUUCACAAGGCAUGCAUUCAUACAUGAGUUUGCAAAUCAAGGCAGUAAAUAUCCUAGCUGGCUUAGUCACACUUAUGCAGUUGUACAGGGAAGGCUAUAUAGUUGGUUGACAACUAGUUUAGUUUUGGCUCCAAUGCCUAAAUCAUGACCAUGCAGUGUGUAUGCUGAUUUUUUGGUUGCACACUCAUGUGUGAUCUGUUGGUCAUACAGUGCAUCAAGUUGUACACAUUUUGUUUUGUUUUGUAGGUGUGCUUUGGAAAAUCAACAUUACUUGCUUACCUCAUGGCAUUUUUUUGAUAUCAAUUGUUUUUGCUCAUUUUUACUUUUUAAUACGUUUGGUUGCUUCGACUAAUUUGUUUGUUCGCUUUUUUUUCACAGACCAAAAAUGAUUGUAGAAGGAGAUACGGCUCCUAGUGAAGGAGAGGUAUGUUUGCUUUUUUCAUCAUUUUUCAUUUAUCCUUGCAACAGUUUUGUUUUGCAAUUAUAAUAACUAUUUUUGGGGGGUUUUCCUGACCAUAUUCCGUGUUUUGUUUGGCUAUGCAGGGGCCGUAAACAAUUCUUCUUGGCGGAAUUCGAAACAGCCCGCCAAGUGGCAGUCGCGUCGUGCUCAUAUCGAUGGGGAGGCAGAGGAUGAUGAGGUAAGUAUCGUGCAAGGUUUUCGACUCGACGAGUCGUUCUGGGGUAGCGACACUUGACGAUUCAUGCCGUGCCGAUCUAGUCGAGGUGUUUGAGUCGACUUCUAGUUACGACUCAUCGACUAGUCGUGACUAUUCGUUCGACUCGAAAAGAUGAGUAUCGAGCAAGCAGUGUGGGUGGAUUUCCCUUUUUUGCACACACACACAAGUAACUUUUUCCAUGCAUCCUUUAGGUUGGUGACCCAUUCCGCUUCGUGAGACGGCAGAAACGGAAGGCGACCAUGUAGGUUGGAGUUGUGGCUGGAGUUGCCACACCGUCUGCAGCAUCUGCCGAGGUAACAUAAAAUGGCAUUAGGAUUUUUUUUCUACACAAAGAAACCUGGGAUCUUAUUUUUUACACAGUUGCAAAAGAACCAGCUAGGUGUUGGCACCCUGAACUUUUACAGUUGUACACAAAUCAAUUAAGAGUUGGUAUCCUCAACUUUUCAAAUAGUUGCACAUUAGUAUCAUACGAGUUGGCAUCCUCGACUUUCAUAGUUGCACUAGAACCAUUUGGGAGUUGGCAGUCUCAACUUUUUGAAUAGUCUCGUAACAAUAUCACAUGAGUUGGCAUCCGCAACUAUUUUAGUUGCACAAGAACCAAUCAGGAGUUGGCAUCCCCAAUUUUUUAAUAGUUUCACAACAGUGCCACAUGAGUUGACAUCUUCAUCUUCUUUAGUUGCACAAGAACCAUUCAGUAGUUGGCAUCCUCAUGUGUUCACAUGCAUAUGAUUUUCUAGGUGUGCAAAUGCACUUGAAAAUAGUUGUACUACUUAUUUGGAAGAUUAUAAUCUGUUAAAUUCAAUAUUUUUUUGUCUAUUUUCUUGUGUUUAGAUAGGCUAAAUUCAUCAUGUUCCUCAGUUUAAAAUUCAUUACAUAGCUACACAAACAUGCAACAUGAUUUGCAUGCAGGAGUACUUGCAGUUGCACAAAAUAAAUGAUGUAGUUGCACAACAGCCAGCAUAAAGUUUUUUUUUGGAAUUUUGCAUACAGAUUUUUAGCUAAAACCAAAAUGAAUCUGAAAUUAUCUAAAUUGGCAUCUUCUACUUUUAUAUGAGUUGAUGAUGCCAACUACUGAAAUUCAAACCCCACAAGUAGAUGGAUAUGGGAGUGUUGUCAGUUGCACACUUGUACUUGUUAAGUUGCACAAAUACAAGCUAGAGUUGGUUCAUUUUUUCUCAAGCUUCUUUUUUUGCAUCAUGUGCAGGUUUUACAGGUUAUGGGGGUGGAUGAACUGACAAUUCUAAGCUACAAAGUCACAUAUACUACUGUGUGGAAAGAUUAAAGGAAAAACCGUAUACUUCUUGUCUAGUUGGUAGUUAUAUUUUCAUAGUACCUACAAUAUGUUUUUUGCUACAGUGACACCAGUUCUUCUGCAUUAUGUGUGAAAUAAGACUAUAUGUGCUCUCUUAUAUAUAUUUGCAUAUUUUCUAUGUUUUGUUGCACACAUUGCAGCAAAAGUUGACUUGUUUUAUGAUCUAGUUGCACAAAAAUUAGUUAAAAUUGCACAGGUACCGCAUCUCCCUGUUUUUUAUCCUUGUUUGUGUUGUCUUCAAGUAUUUAGAAGCUAUUUUUACAAGAGAAAUUUGGUGUGGGGGUGAAAGAGAAAGUCAAGGAGGGAGGAUCUGGACAGGAGGAGAAAAGGAUCAACCUCUUUUUUCACCCUUAUUGGUGCUGCCUGGUACUUUCUAAUCUGUCCUCCCUCUUUCUUCUUUUUUUCGCAGCAAAUUGUUCCAGACCAUUGUUAUUUCACCUUGAUUCAUCUGCCAUGGCAGCUCUGGCGAUGGAGAUCCAGAACUGGGAACCCCUUGUUUUCGUGUGGAAGAAGGUGGGGGCAGGUAGGGGCAUGGGGAGAAGAAGUUGGUGGCCAAGAGGGUGUGAGAGUUUCGAGUGCUUCAGGAGGGGAGGCAAGGGCACGCGAUAUCCUGGGGACCGCGUCCAGUGUGUGGUUGGCGCGGUCUGUAGCUGGCUUUUCUUUUUAGUGUGUAGUUUGUUGGGUUGGCGCGGGUCUGUAGCUGGCUUUCCUUUUCUGGGAUCAGGUGGACCGAAUCUUUCUUUUUCUGGUGGCCGCUCGGGAACGCUAGGGAGCAGCUGGCCGCUCCCUAGACGUGUUCAAAAAAAAUCCCCACGACCCACCUCCCGCAAGCCAUAGUCCCUCGAUCCCCACCUCCCGCAGUCCCUCGAUCCACUCCACCCUGACCCAUCGGCGCCUCCCCCCACCAGCCCGCCGCCUGCUGUAACCCCGCUCACCGCUCCGCCGACGCGGAUCCGGCUGCCGCCCCCGCCCCCUGCCCUGUCUCCAACCGGCGCCACCGCCCCGCGCUCUGCCGCCAAUCGCGCUCGUCGUCGUUGGCUGCUCGCAUCCCCGCCACCAGGACCUCGCCCCGUCGCCGCCCACCACCAGGACCUCGCCCCGCCGCCGCCCACCACCUGGAGGUCCCCUCUCUGCGCGUGGAUCUGGUCUUUCCCGAGCUCCCCCCGCGACGGAGGAACACAAGGCAGAGGCACCGGCGCCGGGAGGAGUAGAACAGGGCGCCAGCACCUGCCGCCCGCCAAAUGCUGCUCCUCGAACUUCCUAGUGCAUACUAGCUUCCUUCAUCGAGGCCCCCCUGGCGAUGGUUUGUGUUUGUUGCCCACAUGUUCGUGUUAAUGCUAGGAGGAGUGCUGCUAUUGAAUUUUGUUUGUUGAUGCUGGAUACAGUACUGAACUAUGUAUAGUUAGUGAAAAAUUGGACCCCUCCCUAUUGUUACUGAUCUAACUCUCUCCACUGAACUCUCUCUUCGGAAAGAUUUGAACUUCUUUUAUUUUUCACAGAAGUUAACUUCAAAAACAUGUUUCUGUAUUUAUCUUCUGAAAUAAAUGCAGUUUGAUGCCACUUAUAUGUGAUGGAUGAAUUGGUUUCAGCACUGUUGAAAAACACUUUAAGAAUGUGUGGAAUGCAGGUCCACCAUCAUCUUUCGGACCCGACGGUGCUCCGUAUAAGCAGCAACAACAAUGUGCGUCACGUAAUGCAUCCAGAUAAAUUUCAAGAAAGUAAACAGUCUAAAAGUUCAGAGACGACAUGACGAGAAAACUUAUGGCCCGACAAGGUCUCCUUGCACCUAAACGGCUACCAUUUUUCUAUUAGCGAAAUUUCCUCUGUUUUGGAUUUAUGAAGAUGGAACAGAUCACUGGUUAGAAUUUUGUUGGUACGCUGUUGCUGCAGUUUAACAUGAGAGAGAGAGAUUUCUUUUAAGAGGUUAGCGUUGCUGCCGUCCGUAGUUAAAGAAAUGAGAAGAGAGAGAGAGAGUGCGGAUAGGAUGUAGUGGGUGUGUGCUGGAUAGAAACCACUAACUUUAGAAGAAAAAAUAUUUCUUUAUCUGGCACUUAGUGGGUGUGUCUUUCUCUGAAUAGUGGGUAGUAUAUUCUGUGUACAAGGCAUAGACUAUGCUUUGUCUGUUUCAUGUCCUGUUCAAUUGGUAAAUUGUCGGUAGUAUGUUACAUAGCGCUUGCUCGCAUGUAUUGCCGCUAGGAAGUUCAAAGAACAGAAAACUAUAAGCUCAGGUAUGAUAUCACACAAAUUUCAUAGAAGAAAAAAAAUACGUACAAACAGGAAAAGUUCACCAGAAAAACAUAGAAAGUUGAGAAAAAAACCAAUAGUUCAUUUUCGAGAAAAAGUGAAGUUCAAAAAAAGAGAAACAUCACUAAAAAAUCGAUGUGCAAAAAAAAUACCAGAGAUUUUAGAGGAAAAAACUCAAGAAUUUUGUGGGUAUACCUAAAAGAUUCUAUACUAUGUCCCAGGAAGUUUCAUGUUUCUGAAAGCACCUAGAAGUUCAAAAUUAAAUAACAAAGUGGUUCAAUAUUUAUUACAAAACUAAGAUUUUUCCAUUACUAAAAGAAAUAAAUCAAGAAGUCCAAAUUACAAAAAAAGCAGUUUAAGAAUAUGACUAAGAAGUUGGAAUUAAAAUAACAAAGAAGUUCGAAGUAUAUAAAAAACUCAAAUUUGUUGCAAGAAGUUCACGUGCACCUCCGUGCACGGUUUAUGAUUUAUAUCGCGGGACGUCCGACCUCCAAUUACAUGUUUUAAAAUGGCAAAAAAAUCAUGUCCGACCUUCAAUUGCGUGUAAUUCGACGUAUACACAAAAAUGUGACAAAAGUUCAUAGUGAAAACAACGAGAAGUUCAAGUACUCCAAGGAAUGCAUUUCAGGUGAGAAUAAAAGUAUAGAAAACUAAAAGUUUAAAAGGUUUGUUGAAAGAAGUUCAAGUGCUCUUUCCGGGGGAGUUCAAAAAUUCUUGCGAGAGAGGUUCACCUUGUAUUUCCAUGUUCGGUUUUUUCCGUAUAAAAAUCGAAUACAAUUCUUUAUUCAAAAAUAUAAAAAGGUGAAGUUCAAAUUGAAAUAACAGAGAAGUUCGGAGUUUAUUAAAACCUAGGAUUUACCAGUUCAAAAAAUAAAAAACACAACACCUUUUUUUUACACUUUUAAAAACAACUCAUAAAUGAAAAAAUGGUUGCUAGAAGUUCAAGUGCACGGCGAGGAAAAGUUCAAAAAUUCUUGUGAGAGAGGUUCACCGUGUGUUUAGAUGUCCAAAAUACAUAAAAAGAUGUUGUUUGUUGUGUUUUAAAAUAAUUCACUCAAACCAGAGAGAAGUUCAAAGUGAUAACAUCCAGAAGUUUACGUACUACAUGGUGUGUGUUUCGUAUAAGAAAAAUCCAAUAAAGUGAAACAGAGUGAAGUUCAAACAGACAUACCCCAGAAGUUCAACUACUUCACGCAGUGCAAAAGACAACACGUCAAAAACAGAGUGAGGUUCAAACAGACAUGCCCGUGAAGUUCAACUACUUCACACAGUGCGUUUCCAUUCGUAGUGAAGGCAGAAAUCAUGAUCUCGUCAUUUCUCUAAUUUACUUCAAAACGAUAGGAAUAUCAUUUGUGUAAGUUCAAGUCCUCGGUCGGAGAAAGUUAAAAAAUAUUGUGAGAGAGGUUUGUAUAAAAAAAUAUCAUUGGUGUAACACUGACGAAAUGGAUGAGAAAAUUACAAAAGAAAAUACAUCACAGAAGUUCAACGUGAAAAUAGCAGGAAGUUCGACUACUAUAGUGAAUGAAUUUGAGAUGAGAAACUUUUAAAAUCGUUGCGAGUAUGAAAAAAUGAUCAACACGGUAAAGUUGCAUGUUUACAUCAGCUUUCCACCGAUAUAUUACUUGCUCAAUUCCAGUGAGUGUUCCGGUGAGUGGAUGGAGAGCUACGGGCAAAAAAAGCACGUGAAAAACAGAGUGAAGUUCAAGUAGACAUGCCGAGAAGUUCAGGUUCUUCACGCGGUGCAUUUUCGAUGAAUCUGUUUCGCGAUAAAGGCGGAACGAAUGAUCUCGCCAUUUUUGAAAUUACUUGAAAACGGCUAGGAAUCAUUUAAAACAUCAACAUGAAAAAGUUUCGCAUUUUCCUUAGCUUUUCAACGGUAUAUUAUUUGCUCCAUUUCGAUAAAGUUUGUAGAAAUUACGGCGAAAAUACCUUUUUAGCCAUUUGCAAAAUAGACUUAAAACAAUAAGGAAUUGGGAGAAACAAUAUAUACCAAAAAGUUUCUCAUUUCCUCAAGCUUUCCAACGCCGUAUCAUUUUCUACAUUCGGACGCACGGUUAAAAAAUUAGCUCGAAAAUACGAACUCGGUGCAACUUGUACCGUUUUAUAAAUCUCUUUUAAACCGUUCAAAAUUAGAAAAAACUUUCAACACAAAAAAGUAGCGCAUUUUCAUAAGCUUUCCAAUGCCAUAUCAUUUACCUCAAUUGGAUUAGCCAUUUAGAAAUUACAUCGAAAAUACGAACUCUGCUGUUCGGUUUGUGAAAUUUUACAAUUUUCCAAAUUACUCUUUAACCAUAGGGAAUUAGGGAAAACUUUCAACAUGUGGAAGAAGCGGUUUUGCAGCAGCUUUCCAACGCCAUAUUAUUUGCCUCAUUCCGAUAAACGGUUUUAAAAUGCGAUCGAAAAAUACGGUUCACGUUUUUUAUAUGAAGAAAAAACGGUUUUCAAAACUGCUCUUAAACGGCUUAUAUUUUGCCAAAAAUUUAACUUGGGUCAUGAUACUGGUGUCCAUAACUUUCCAACGAUAUAUCGCAAGCCCCAUUUGGGCAAUGUUGGCGGAAGUUCAACCUAGCACUGGGAGAAGUUCAGGUCGAACAACUCGGACAGUAAAAUUGCAAAAAUGCAAUUUCAUCAUGACCCGAGAGCAAAAUCCACCAACGAGAGAGAUUCCUAUUUAAAACCGGCAUUUAUUUGCUAAAAAACUUUUCUAGAUUACACCAACAUCAUAUAGAAUACGACUAACCAGAAUAAUUCGCGGGGGAAGCCACGGUUGCGAAGAUAGCCCGAAGGUCGGGUUCGUACAGAGGGAAGUUCAGGCGCGUUACUCAGGCAGUUCAGGUUCUGAUCAGAAUAUUAUUCUGAUCCCGCGAUCAGAAUGGUGUUUAUAUAUAUAUAUAUAUAUAUGAUCUCUUAUGCUAAAGUAACAAUUCAAUCACAAUUUUAAGUAUGAAUCAUAAACUUCAUUGAAAACUAACAAACUUUAAUCUCAGUUAUUGAGGCAAUUGCUAUUUAUCAUAACAUAUGAAAGAGUCAAUAUAAGAGCUUUUCAGCAAGUCCACAUACUCAACUAUCAUUUAGUCUUUCACAAUUGCUAUCACUCACGCAAUAUUUAUGGGUAUGGAGUUUUAAUCGGACACAGAGAAAGAUAGGGGCUUAUAGUUUUGCCUCCCAAUGUUUUACCUCAAGGGUAAUGUCAACAAUAAUAGCUCAUGCAGACUCACAUCCAAUUAGCUAUAUGUAUCUGGAUCUUUCCAACACAUUGUGCUUGCCAAAGGAUAAAAUGUAAAAAGGAAAGGUGAAGAUCACCAUGACUCUUUGCAUGAAGUAUAAGACAAGAAUAAAAGAUAGGCCCUUCGCGGAGGGAAGCAGAGGUUGUCAUGCGCUUUUAUGGUUGGAUGCACGUAAUCUUAAUGCAAAAGAAUGUCACUUUAUAUUGCCACUUGUGAUAUGGACCUUUAUCAUGAAGUCCGUCGCUUUUAUUUCUUCCAUAUCACAAGAUCGUAUAAAGCUUAUUUCUCCACACUAAAAAGUCAUACAUAUUUAGAGAGCAAUUUUUAUUGCUUGCACCGAUGACAACUUACUUGAAGGAUCUUACUCAAUUCAUAGGUAGAUAUAAUGGACUCUCAUGGCAAAACUGGGUUUAGGGAUAUUUGGAAGCACAAGUAGUAUCUCUACUUGGUGCAAAGAAUUGGCUAGCAAGAGAGGGAAAGGCAAGCUCAACAUGUUGGAUGAUCCAUGACAAUAUAAUUUAUCUCAGAGUAAGAAAUCAUAACCCAUUACGUUGUCUUCCUUGUCCAACAUCAACUCUUUAGCAUAUCAUACUUUAAUGAGUGCUCACAAUCAUAAAAGAUGUCCAAGAUAGUAUAUUUAUAUGUGAAGACCUCUCUUUCUUUAUUACUUCCUAUUAAUUGCAACAAUGACCAAAACUAUGUUUGUCAACUCUCAACAACUUUUAUUCAUCAUACUCCUUAUAUGUGAGCUCAUUACUCUCCAUAAGAUCCAUAUGAUCUCUUUAUUUCUUUUUAUUUCUUCUCUUUUUCUUUUUAUUUUAUUCCCACAAGAUCAUAGCAAAAAAAUCAAGCCCUUGACUCAACACUAAUCUUUAUUAUAUAUAGCUCACGGACUCGAUUACAUAGGAAUAUCAUAAAGCAAAACUCACAACUAGAUCAUACUAAAAUUUUAUUCUACUAGAUCAAGAUAUUAUCAAAAGGAUCGAACUAAGAAAAAACGGUAAAGAUAAAAGUUGUGAUGCUGAUACUAUACCGGGGCACUCUCCCAAGCUUGGCAGUUGCCAAGGGGAGUGCCCAUGCCCAUGUGAUUAUGUCUCCUUCUUCAGGGGUGAUGACGUGAUAUUCUUGGCGAUGAUGCCCCUCAGGAUACGAUUCUCUUCCUCGAGCUUAUUGACUUGCUGCUUGAGGUUCAUUAUUUCCUUACGGAGCUUGCCAGUGACAGCUAAAGCUCCUUUCACCCAAGGAUGUUGCAUAGCUGCGGGAGAACAAGUAACACUCUUUUCCAUAUUUUCAUAAGAAAGAAAUCUAACAUUGGAAGGGAUAACCGAGUUUGGAAUAGCUGAGCUCUAUGGUUCCCCCAUCGUGAAUCCUGCCCGGAAACAAGAAGUAACUUCUUGAUCCUCCUCCAUGGCAUCUAUCCUUUUCAAGUCAGCUUCCAUCUCUUCCUCCGUUGAGGGCCCAAAGUGAUAGGCAUUGCUGUUUGCCCCUGGACCUGGUGUUGGAUGAGACACCCGACUCUCCCCGACUGACUCUUGAGAAGACAUCUUGCUCUAAUCUGCGGCAGAAAUAGCUCGAAACAAAGACAUGAGAUAUUUGCGUGAUACGGUGGUCAAAACCUUGGGGAGAUUAUAUAAUGAAUUUUUACCGACCAAAAGAAGUAUCGUGCAAGAAAACGGAGUCCGGAGAGCACACAAGGUGCCCACGAGGCAGGGGGGCAUGCCCAGGGGAGUAGGGCGCGCCCUCCACCCUCGUGGAAGCCCCGUGUCCUUUCCGGUCUACUUCUUAUUUUCCUAUUUUCUUAAAUAUUCCAAAACAGAGAAAAAUUGCCAUUAGAACUGUUUUGGAGUCGGUUUACUUACCGUACCACGUACCUAUUCCUUUUCGGAGUCUGAAACGUUCCAGAAAGUGUUCCUUAUGUAUUCAUCCGGGGUUACGGUUUCAAUAACAUUAGUUUCAACAUUUAUAGGAUUACCUGAGAUAUAAUGUUUGAUUCUUUGACCGUUCACCACCCUUGGAUUUGUGCCUUCGAAGUUGUUGAUUUUUAUGGCACCGAAACGAUAGACCUCCUCGAUGACGUAAGGUCCUUCCCAUUUAGAGAGAAGUUUUCCUGCAAAAAAUCUUAAACGAGAGUUGUAUAGCAAUACAUAAUCACCUACAUUAAACUCACGCUUUUUUAUCCUUUUGUCAUGCCAUCUUUUAACUUUUUCUUUAAAUAGUUUGGCAUUUUCAUAGGCUUGGGUCCUCCAUUCAUCAAGUUAGCUAAUGUCAAAAAGGCUCUUCUCACCGGCAAGUUUGAAAUCAUAAUUGAGCUCUUUAAUAGCCCAAUAUGCCUUAUGUUCUAGCUCGAGAGGUAAGUGACAUGCUUUACCAUAAACCAUUUUAUACGGAGACAUACCCAUAGGAUUUUUAUAUGCAGUUCUAUAAGCCCAUAAUGCAUCAUCAAGUUUCUUGGACCAAUUCUUCCUAGAUCUAUUAAUAGUCUUUUGCAAAAUUAAUUUAAGCUAUGUAUUGCUAAGUUCUACUUGACCACCAGACUAUGGAUGAUAUGGAGAUGGAAUUCUAUGAUUAAGAUCAUACUUAGCAAGCAUUUUAUGAAAGGCACCAUGAAUAAAAUGUGAACCAGCAUCAGUCAUUAAAUAUCUAGGGACUCCAAACCUCGGAAAAAUAACUUCUUUAAGCAUCUUAAUAGAGGUGUUAUGAUCAGCACUACUAGCUAGAAUAGCUUCCACCCACUUAGUAACGUAACCAACAACAACUAAAAUAUGUGUAUACCCAUUCGAGGAAGGAAAAGGUCCCAUAUAAUCGAAGCCCCAAACAUCAAAUGGUUCAAUAACAAGUGAAUAAUUCAUAGGAAUUUCUUGACGUCUACUAAUAUUACCAAUUCUUUGACAUUCAUCACAAGACAAGACAAACUUACGGGCAUCCUUGAAGAGAGUAGGCCAAUAAAAACCUAAUUGCAAUACCUUAUGUGCAGUUCUGUCUCUAGCAUGGUGUCCUCCAUAAGCUUUGGAGUGACACUUGCGUAAGAUAUGUUCCUGUUCAUGCUCAGGUACACAACGUCUAAUAACACCAUCUACUCCUUCUUUACAAAGAUGUGGGUCAUCCCAAAAGUAAUGUCUUAAAUCAUAGAAGAACCUUUUCUUUUGCUGGUAUGUGAAACUAGGUGGUAUAAAUUUAGCAAAAAUAUAAUUAGCAUAAUCAGCAUACCAUGGAGCAGUAUGAGAAGCAUUUAUGACAUUUAAUUAUUCAUCAGGAAAGCUAUCAUCAAUAGGUAGUGGGUCAUCAAGAACAUUCUCUAACCUAGACAAGUUGUCUGCAACGGGGUUCUCAGCUCCCUUUCUAUCAAUGAUAUGCAAAUCAAAUUCUUGUAGUAGGAUAACCCAUCUAAUAAGUCUAGGUUUAGCAUCUUUCUUUUCCAUAAGAUAUUUAAUAGCAGCAUGAUCAGUGUGAAUAGUUACUUUAGAAUCAACAAUAUAAGGUCUGAACUUAUCACAUGCAAAUACAACUGCUAAGAAUUCUUUUUCAGUAGCAGCAUAAUUUCUCUGGGUAUUGUCUAGAGUUUUACUAGCAUAUUGAAUAACAUUUAAUUUUUUAUCAACUCUUUGUCCUAGAACAGCCCCUACAGCAUAAUCACUAGCAUCACACAUAAUUUCAAAGGGAAAUUCCAAUCAGGUGGCUGAACAAUAGGUGCAGAAAUCAAGGCUUUCUUAAGUAUUUCAAAUGCUUCUACACAAUCAUCAUGAAAGACAAAAGGAAUAUCUUUUUGUAAUAGGUUAGUCAGAGGCCGAGAAAUUUUUGAGAAGUCCUUAAUGAACCUCCUAUAAAAACUGGCAUGACCAAGGAAACUUCUUAUACCUUUGAUGUCCUUGGGACACGACAUCUUUUCAAUAGCAUCAACUUUAGCUUUAUCAACUUCAAUACCUCUUUCAGAAAUUUUAUGCCCCAAGACAAUACCUUCAUUAACCAUAAAGUGGCACUUCUCCUAGUUCAAGACAAGAUUAGUUUCUUCACAUCUCUGCAAAACUCGAUCAAGGUUGCUCAAGCAAUCAUCAAAAGAGGAUCCAUAAACGGAGAAAUCAUCCAUGAAUACCUCACAAAUCUUUUCACAAAAGUCAGAGAAUAUAGCCAUCAUGCAUCUUUGAAAGGUAGCAGGUGCAUUACAUAAACCAAAAGGCAUACGUCUAUAAGCAAAAGAAUCGAAAGGGCAAGUAAAAUUGGUCUUUUCUUGAUCCUCAGCUCACACAGGUAUUUGAGAGAAGCCAGAGUAACCAUCUAGAAAACAAAAAUGUGUAUGUUUGGAUAAUCUUUCUAGCAUUUGAUCAAUGAAAGGCAAAGGGUAAUGAUAUUUUUUAGUAUAUUUAUUUAAUUUACGGAAAUCAAUUACCAUCCUAUAACCUGUAAUAAUUCUUUGCGGGAUCAAUUCAUCUUUAUCACUAGGAACAACAAUAAUACCUCCCUUCUUAGGGACACAAUGGACAGGACUUACCCACUGACUAUUAGCAACUGGAUAAAUUAUACCUGCCUCAAGGAGCUUUAAUAUUUCCUUUCUUACCACUUCUUUCAUCUUAGGAUUCAGCCGUCGUUGGUGAUCAAUAACUGGUUUGGCGUCUUUCUCCAAAUUUAUUUUGUGUUGACAUAGAGUGGGACUAAUGCCCUUAAGAUCAUCAAGAGUAUAUCCAAUAGCAGCACGGUGCUUCUUCAGAGUUUUCAAUAAAUUUUCUUCCUCCUUCUCUGAAAGGUUAGCACUAAUAAUAACAGGAUAUAUCUUCUUUUCAUCAAGAUAAGCAUAUUUAAGAGUAUCAGGCAAUGGUUUAAGCUCAAACACGGGAUCACCCUUGGGUGGAGGAGGAUCCCCUAGGAUUUCAACAGGCAAGUUGUGUUUCAGAAUAGGUCCCCAUUUAAAGAGUAUUUCAUCUAUUUCCCUUCUUUCAUUCAUAAACAUAUCAUUCUCAUGGUCUAGUAAAUAUUGUUCUAAAGGAUCAGUAGGAGGCACGGCAAUAGAAGCAAGACCAAUAAUUUCAUCUUUACUAGCCAAUUCCUCAUCACGGGGUUGUUUACGAAACUUAGCAAAAUUAAACUCAUGAGACAUAUCCCCUAAACCAACAAAAACAAUAUCCUUAUUGCAGUCUAUCUUAGCAUUAACAGUAUUCAAGAAGGUUCUACCAAAUAUAAUGGGACAAAAGCUAUCUUGUGGGGAACCAAGAACAAGAAACUCAGCAGGAUAUUUAACCUUCCCACACAAGACUCCAACAUAUCUAACAAUCCCAAUUGGUGAAAUAGUAUCUCUAUUGGCAAGCUUAAUGGUAACAUCGAUAUCUUCUAUCUCAGCAAGUGCAAUAUCAUGCAUACUUUCUUUGUAUAAGGAAUGGGGUAUUGCACUUUGCUACCUAUUGAGCUUGCGUUGGAUUUCCCUGAAGAGUAAAGGAUGAUGCAGCAGAGUAGCGUAAGUAUUUCCCUCAGUUUUUGAGAACCAAGGUAUCAAUCCAGUAGGAGGCUACGCUCAAGUCCCUCGUACCUGCACAAAACGAUAGCUACUCGCAACCAACGCGAUUAGGGGUUGUCAAUCCCUUCACGAUCACUUACGAGAGUGAGAUCUAAUAGAUAUAAUAUUUUUGGUAUUUUUGGUAUAAAGAUGCAAAGUAAAAAGUAAAAGCAAAGUAAAAACAAAGCAAGAUUAAAGUAAUGGAGAUUGAUAUGAUGAGAAUAGACCCGGGGCCAUAGGUUUCACUAGUGGCUUCUCUCAAGAGCAUAAGUAUUCUACGGUGGGUGAACAAAUUACUGUUGACCAAUUGAUAGAAUUGAGCAUAGUUAUGAGAAUAUCUAGGUAUGAUCAUGUAUAUAGGCAUCACGUCCGUGACAAGUAGACCGAAACGAUUCUGCAUCUACUACUAUUACUCCACUCAUCAACCGCUAUCCAGCAUGCAUCUAGAGUAUUAAGUUAAAAACAGAGUAACGCCUUAAGCAAGAUGGCAUGAUGUAGAGAGAUAAAUUCAUGCAAUAUGAAAUAAACCCCAUCUUGUUAUCCUUGAUGGCAACGAUGCAAUAUGUGCCUUGCUGCCCUUUCUGUCACUGGGAAAGGACACCGCAAGAUCGAACCCAAAGCUAAGCACUUCUCCCAUGGAAAGAACUACCAAUCUAGUUGGCCAAACCAAACAGAUAAUUCGAAGAGACUUGCAAAGAUAACCAAUCAUACAUAAAAUAAUUCAGAGAAUAUUCAAAUAUUAUUCAUAGAUAGACUUGAUCAUAAACCCACAAUUCAUCCGUCUCUACAAACACACCGCAAAAAGAAGAUUACAUCGAAUAGAUCUCCACAAGAGAGGGGGAGAACUUUGUAUUGACACUGAAAGAGAGAGAAGAAGCCAUCUAGCUACUAACUAUGGACCCGAAGGUCUGAGGUAAACUACUCACACUUCAUCGGAGAGGCUAUGAUGAUGUAGAAGCCCUCCGUGAUGACGACCCUCCUCCGGCGGAGCUCCGGAACAGGCCCCAAGAUGGGAUCUCGUGGAUACAGAAAGUUGCGGCGGUGGAAUUAGGUUUUUGGCUCAGUAUCUGUUUGUUCGGGGGUACGUAGGUAUAUAUAGGAGGAAGAAGUACGUCGGUGGAGCUCCAAGGGGCCCACGAGGCAGGGGGCGCGCCCUGGGGGGGGGGGGCGCCCCCCACCCUCAUGACCUCCUCUUUUGUUCCUUGUCGUAGGGUCCAAGUCUCCUGGAUCACGUUCGGUGAGAAAAUCACGUUCCCGAAGGUUUUAUUCUGUUUGGACUCCGUUUGAUAUUCCGUUUCUUUGAAACACUAAAAUAGGCAAAAAACAGCAAUUCUGGGCCGGGCCUCCGGUUAAUAGGUUAGUCCCAAAAAUAAUAUAAAAGUGGAAAAUAAAGCCCAAUAUAGUCCAAAACAGUAGAUAAUAUAGCAUGGAGCAAUCAAAAAUUAUAGAUACGUUGGAGACGUAUCAAGCAUCCCCAAGCUUAAUUCCUGCUCGUCCUCGAGUUGGUAAAUGAUAAAAAGAGAAUUUUUGAUGCGGAGUGCUACUUGGCAUAAGUUCAAUGCAAAUCUUCUUAAUUGUGGUAUGAAUAUUCAGAUUCGAAAGAUUCAAGACAAAGGUUUAUAUUGACAUAAAAAUAAUAAUACUUCAAGCAUACUAACAAAGCAAUUAUGUCUUCUCAAAAUAACAUGGCCAAAGAAAGUUAUCCCUACAAAAUAAUAUAGUCUGGCUAUGCUCUAUCUUCACCACACAAAGUAUUUAAAUCAUGCACAACCCUGAUGACAAGCCAAGCAAUUGUUUCAUACUCUAACUUUUUCAAUUUUCACUCAAUACAUGAGCGUGAGCCAUGGAUAUAGCACUAUAGGUGGAAUAGAAUGGUGGUUGUGGAGAAGACCAAAAGGAGAAGAUAGUCUCACAUCAACUAGGCGUAUCAAUGGGCAAUCGAGAUGCCCAUCUAUAGAUAUCAAUGUGAGUGAGUAGGGAUUGCUAUGCAACGGAUGCACUAGAGCUAUAAGUAUAUGAAAGCUCAAAAAGAAAACUAAGUGGGUGUGCAUCCAACUUGCUUGCUCAUGAAGACCUAGGGCAAUUUGAGGAAGCCCAUCAUUGGAAUAUACAAGCCAAGUUCUAUAAUGAAAAUUCCCACUAGUAUAUGAAAGUGAUAACAUGAGAGACUCUCUACUAUGAAGAUCAUGGUGCUACUUUGAAGCACAAGUGUGGUAAAAGGAUAGUAACAUUGUCCCUUCUCUCUUUUUCUCUCAUUUUUUUAUUUUUUUAUUUGGGCCUUUUCUCUUUUUUUUAUGGCCUCUUUUUUUAUUUGGGCUCUUUGGCCUCUUUUAUUUAUUUUUCGUCCGGAGUCUCAUCCCGACUUAUGGGGGAAUCAUAGUCUCCAUAAUCCUUUCCUCACUUGGGACAAUGCUCUAAUAAUGAUGAUCAUCACACUUUUAUUUUUCUUACAACUCAACAAUUACAACUUGAUACCUAGAAGAAAAUAUGACUCUAUAUGAAUGCAUCCGGCGGGGUACCGGGAUAUGCAAUAUGACAAUGAUGGAGUGUGUCAUAAUAAACGGAAUGGUGGAAAGUUGCAUGGCAAUAUAUCUCGGAAUGGCUAUGGAAAUGCCAUAAUAGGUAGGUAUGGUGGCUGUUUUGAGGAAGGGUAUAUGGUAGGUGUAUGAUACCGGCGAAAGGUGCGCGGUAUUAGAGAGGCUAGCAAAGGUGGAAGGGUGAGAGUGCGUAUGAUCCAUGGACUCAACAUUAGUCAUAAAGAACUCAUAUACUUAUUGCAAAAAUCUAGAAGUUAUCAAAGCAAAGUAUUACACGCAUGCUCCUAGGGGGAUAGAUUGGUAGUAAAAGACCAUCGCUCGUCCCCGACCGCCACUCAUAAGGAAGAUAAUCAAUAAAUAAAUCAUGCUCCGACUUCAUCACAUAACGGUUCACCAUACGUGCAUGCUACGGGAAUCACAAACUUUAACACAAGUAUUCUUUAAAUUCACAACUACUCAACUAGCAUGACUUUAAUAUUAUCACCUCCAUAUCUGAAAACAAUUAUCAUGCUUCAAUCUUUUCUUAGUAUUCAACACACUCAAAAGAAAGUUUCACAAAUCUUGAACAGCAAGCAUAUUAUUAUUAAGCAAAUUACCAUGCUAUUAAGAGACUCUCAAAAUAAUUUAAGUGAAGCAUGAGAGAUUAAUAGUUUCUUUAAAACAAAUCCACCACCGUGCUCUAAAAGAUCUAAGUGAAGCACAUAGAGCAAAAUUAUAACGCUCAAAAGAUAUAAGUGAAGCACAUAGAGCAAAACUACUUAGCUCAAAAGAUAUAAGUGAAGCACAUAGAGUAUUCUAGCAAAUUUUAAUUCAUAUAUGGCUCUCUCAAAAGGUGUGUACAGCAAGGAUGAUUGUGUUAUACUAAGACACAAAGACACAAAUAAUACAAGACCCUCCAAGCAAAACGCAUAUCAUGUUGGUGAAUAAAAAUAUAGCUCCAAGUAAAUUACCGAUGGAAGUGGACGAAAGAGAGGAUGCCUCCCGGGGUAUCCCCAAGCUUCGACUUUCUGGUGUCCUUGGAUUAUCUUGGGGGUUCCAUGGGCAUCCCAAAUCUUAGGCUCUUGCCACUCCUUGUUCCAUGAUCCAUCAAAAGAAUUCACCAAAAACUUGAAAACUUCACAACACAAAACUUAAAGUAGAAAACUCGUGAGCUCCGUUAGCGAAAGAAAACAAAAGACCACUUCAAGGAACUGUAAUGAACUCAUUCUUUAUUUAUAUUGGUGUUAAACCUACUGUAUUCCAACUUCUCUAUGGAUUAUAAACUAUUUUACUAGCCAUAGAUUCAUCAAAAUAAGCAAACAACACACGAAAAACAGAAUCUGUCAAAAACAGAACAGUCUGUAGUAAUCUGUAGCUAGAGCAAGAUCUGGAACCCCAAAAAUUCUAAAAUAAAUUUCUGGACGUGAGUAAUUUAUCUAUUAAGCAUCUGCAAAAAUAAUUAACUAAAUAUCACUCUUCAAAUAAAAAUUACAGCAAUUCUCGUGAGCGCUAAAGUUUCUGUUUUUUUACAGCAAGUUCAACAAGACUUUCCCCAAGUCUUCCCAACGGUUCUACUUGGAAAAAACACUAAUUAAACACAAAAAACACACAACCAAAACAGAGGCUAGGUAAUUUAUUUAUUAAAUAACAUCAAGGAUAAAUAUUGGGUUGACUCCCAACAAGCGCUUUUCUUUAAAGCCUUAUAGCUAGGCAUUGGUAAUUUUAAUGAUGCUCACAAGAAAGACAAGAAUUGAAGCACAAAAGGAGCAUCAUAAAGCAUGUGACAAACACAUCUAAGUCUAACAUACUUCCUAUGCAUAGGCUUCUUAAAGGCAAACAAAUUAUCAUAGCGAGCAAAAACUAGCAUAUGCAAGGAAGCGGAAAGAAAUAAUAGCAAUCUCAACAUAACGAGAGGUAAUUUAGUAACAUGAAAAUUUCUACCACCAUAUUUUCCUCUCUCGUAAUAAUUAUAUGUAGGAUCAUAAGAAAAUUCAAUAAAAUAGCUAUCACAUAAAAUAUUUUCAACACGAUCCACAUGCAUGCAAAGUUGACACUCUUUCAAAAUAGUGGGAUUAACAUUAACUAAAGUCAUGACCUUUCGAGACCCACUUUUAUCAAAAAUUUCAUAAGAUUGAUCAUUCUCCAAAUUUGUGGGAUCCAAAGUUGAUACUCUUCCAAACCCACUUUCAGUAAUAUUCCAAACACUAUUAUCAAUCUCAUAUUCAUCAUGGGGCUUAAAUAAAUUUUCAAUAUCAUAAGAAGAAUCACCCCAAUCAUGAUCAUUGCAACAAGUAGAGGACAUAGCAAAACUAGCAUCUCCAAGCUUAGGGUUUUGCAUAUUAUUAGCACAAUUGACAUCAAGAGAGUUUAUAGUAAAAUCAUUGCAAUCAUGCUUUUUAUUCAAAGAUCUAUCAUGAAUCGCUUCAUAAAGUAAUUCAUCACACUUUUCAGAUUCACGAAUUUCAAGCAAAACCUCAUAAAGAUAAUCUAGUGAACAAAACUUACUAGCAACUGGUUCAUCAUAAUUAGAUCUCUUAAAAAGAUUAGCAAGCGGAUGAGGAUCCAUAGAUCUUAGGUUCUCUAUUUAGUAAUAAAUAAACAACUAUUCCAACCAUACGAGCAAACAAGAAACGAGCAAAAGAGGCAAAUAGAGAGGGAGGAUAGAGAGAGGGAGAAUAAAUGGCAAGGGUGAAGUGGGGGAGAGGAAAACGAGAGGAAAAUGGCAAAUAAUGUAAUGCGAGAGAUAGGGAUUGUGAUGGGUACUUGGUAUGUUGACUUUUGCGUAGACUCCCCGGCAACGGCGCCAGAAAUUCUUCUUGCUACCUCUUGAGCUUGCGUUGGAUUUCCCCAAAGAGGAAAGGAUGAUGCAGCAGAGUAGCGUAAGUAUUUCCCUCAGUUUUUGAGAACCAAGGUAUCAAUCCAGUAGGAGGCUACGCUCAAGUCCCUCGUACCUGCACAAAACGAUAGCUACUCGCAACCAACGCGAUUAGGGGUUGUCAAUCCCUUCACGGUCACUUACGAGAGUGAGAUCUGAUAGAUAUAAUAUUUUUGGUAUAAAGAUGCAAAGUAAAAAGUAAAAGCAAAGUAAAAACAAAGCAAGAUUAAAGUAAUGGAGAUUGAUAUGAUGAGAAUAGACCCCGGGGCCAUAGGUUUCACUAGUGGCUUCUCUCAAGAGCAUAAGUAUUCUACGGUGGGUGAACAAAUUACUGUUGAGCAAUUGAUAGAAUUGAGCAUAGUUAUGAGAAUAUCUAGGUAUGAUCAUGUAUAUAGGCAUCACGUCCGUGACAAGUAGACCGAAACAAUUCUGCAUCUACUACUAUUACUCCACUCAUCGACCGCUAUCCAGCAUGCAUCUAGAGUAUUAAGUUAAAAACAGAGUAAUGCCUUAAGCAAGAUGACAUGAUGUAGAGAGAUAAAUUCAUGCAAUAUGAAAUAAACCCCAUCUUGUUAUCCUCGAUGGUAACGAUGCAAUACGUGCCUUGCUGCCCUUUCUGUCACUGGGAAAGGACACCGCAAGAUCGAACCCAAAGCUAAGCACUUCUCCCAUUGCAAGAACUACCAAUCUAGUUGGCCAAACCAAACAGAUAAUUUGAAGAGACUUGCAAAGAUAACCAAUCAUACAUAAAAUAAUUCAGAGAAUAUUCAAAUAUUAUUCAUAGAUAGACUUGAUCAUAAACCCACAAUUCAUCCAUCUCUACAAACACACCGCAAAAAGAAGAUUACAUCGAAUAGAUCUCCACAAGAGAGGGGGAGAACUUUGUAUUGAGAUUCAAAGAGAGAGAAGAAGCCAUCUAGCUACUAACUAUGGACACGAAGGUCUGAGGUAAACUACUCACACUUCAUCGGAGAGGCUAUGAUGAUGUAGAAGCCCUCCGUGAUGACGGCCCUCCUCCGGCGGAGCUCCGGAACAGGCCCCAAGAUAGGAUCUCAUGGAUACAGAAAGUUGAGGCGGUGGAAUUAGGUUUUUGGCUCAGUAUCUGUUCGUUUGGGGGUACGUAGGUAUAUAUAGGAGGAAGAAGUACGUCGGUGGAGCUCCGAGGGGCCCACGAGGCAGGGGGGCACGCCCUAGGGGGGGGGGGCGCCCCCCACCCUCGUGACCUCCUCUUUUGUUCCUUGGCGUAGGGUCCAAGUCUCCUGGAUCACGUUCGGUGAGAAAAUCACGUUCCCGAAGGUUUUAUUCCGUUUGGACUCCGUUUGAUAUUCCAUUUCUUUGAAACACUGAAAUAGGCAAAAAACAACAAUUCUGGGCUGGGCCUCCGGUUAAUAGGUUAGUCCCAAAAAUAAUAUAAAAGUGGAAAAUAAAGCCCAAUAUAGUCCAAAACAGUAGAUAAUAUAGCAUGGAGCAAUCAAAAAUUAUAGAUACAUUGGAGACGUAUCACACUUGCACUAGCACCCAUAUCACAUAAGCCAUGAUAGCAAUGAUCUCCUAUUUUAAUAGAAAUAACAGGCAUGCCUAUAACAGGUCUAUGUUUAUUUUUAGUAUUGGGUCUAGCAAUUCUAGCAGUCUCAUCACAGAAGUAAAUAACAUGCCCAUCAAUAUUAUCGGCCAAGAGAUCUUUAACCAUAGCAAUAUUAGGUUCAACUUUAACUUGCUCAGGGGGUUUGUGUGUCCUAAUAUUACUUUUGUUGACUACAGUUGAAACUUUAGCAUGAUCCUUUAUUCUAACAGGGAAAGGUGGUUUCUCAACAUAAGCAGUAGGAACAACAGGAUCAUUAUAAGUGAUAGUCUUUUCUUCAACUUUAACAGGUGCAACUACUUUUACUUCAAUGGGAGGAUUAUAUUUAAACCACUUCUCCUUAGGGAGAUCAACAUGAGUAGCAAAGGAUUCACAUAAAGAAGCUACUAUCUCAGAGUCAAGUCCAUAUUUAGUGCUAAAUUCACGAAAUGCAUCGGUAUCCAUAAAAGAUUUAACACAAUCAAACUUAGGUGUUAUACCUGACUCCUUACCUUCGUCGAGACCCAAUCUUCAGAGUUGCGUCUAAUUCUUUCCAAUAAAUCCCAUUCGAAUUCAAUAGUCUUCAUCAUAAAAGAUCCAAUACAAGAAGUAUCGAGCAUGGAGCGAUUACUGAGAGAAAGCCGAGCAUAAAUUUUUUGAAUAAUCAUUUCUCUUGAGAUCUCAUGAUUGGGGCAUGAAUAUAACAUUGACUUAAGCCUCCCUCAAGCAUGAGCGAUGCUUUCUCCUUUGUGAGGCCAACAAUUAUAUAUAUAAUUAUGAUCACGAUGAACAAGAUACAUAGGAUAAAACUUCUGGUGAAAUUCCAAUUUCAAUCGCUUAUAGUCCCAUGAUCCCAUAUCAUCACAUAGCCUAUACCAUGUCAAUGCAUCUCCCUUCAAAGAUAAAGGGAAUACCUUCUUCUUGAUAACAUCCUCGGGCAUACCUGGAAGCUUAAAUAAUCCACAAACUUCAUCCACAUAGAUUAAGUGUAAAUCGGGAUGCAAUGUUCCAUCUCCCGCAAAAGGAUUAGCUAGCAGUUUCUCUAUCAUACCCGAAGGAGGAGAAACUCUUUGCUCUACUGGUCGGGGUGAAGAUACCCUGAACAAGCCCCUCAAAGGAUUAUGUUCCAUAGUAACAAGUGACAGUAAAAUUCAGCACACUAUAUAAAUUUUUCCUUACCAAAUUCCACCUACCAAAGACGCUUCACUCCCCGACAACGGCGCCAGAAAAGAGUCUUGAUGACCCACAAGUGUAGGGGAUCUAUCGUAGCUUUUCGAUAAGUAAGAGUGUCGAACCCAACGAGGAGCAGAAGGAAAUGAUAAGCAGUUUUCAGUAAGGUAUUCUCUGCAAGCACUGAAAUUACCGGUAACAUAUAGUUUUGUGAUAAGAUAAAUUGUAACGAGUAGCAAGUGAUAAAAGUAAAUAAGGUGCAGCAAGAUGGCCCAAUCCUUUUUGUAGCAAAGGACAAGCCUGGACAAACUCUUAUAUGAAGGAAAGCGCUCCCGAGGACACAUGGGAAUUAUCGUCAAGCUAGUUUUCAUCACGAUCAUAUAAUUCGCGUUCGGUACUUUGAUAAUUUGAUAUGUGGGUGGACCAGUGCUUGGGUACUGUCCUUACUUGGACAAGCAUCCCACUUAUGAUUAACCCCUAUUUCAAGCAUUCGCAACUACAACAGAAGUAUUAAGGUAAACCUAACCAUAGCCUGAAACAUAUGGAUCCAAAUCAGCCCCUUACGAAGCAAUGCAUAAACUAGGGUUUAAGCUUCUGUCACUCUAGCAACCCGUCAUCUACUUAUUACUUCCCAAUGCCUCCCUCUAGGCCCAAACAAUGGUGAAGUGUCAUGUAGUCGACGUUUACAUGACACCACUAGAGGGAUGACAACAUACAUCUCAUCAAAGUAUUGAAUGAAUACCAAAUUCACAUGACUACUAAUAGCAAGACUUCUCCCAUGUCCUCAAGAACAAACAUAACUACUCACAAAGCAUAUUCAUGUUCAUAAUCAGAGGGGUAUUAAUAUGCAUAAUGGAUCUGAACAUAUGAUCUUCCACCAAGUAAACCAACUA